rnacentral:rRNA from 1 species
GGCUCACCAAGGCGACGAUCAGUAGGGGAUCUGAGAGGAUGGCCCCCCACACUGGUACUGAGAUACGGACCAGACUCCUACGGGAGGCAGCAGUAAGGAAUAUUGGACAAUGGGCGGAAGCCUGAUCCAGCCAUGCCGCGUGCAGGAAGACGGCCCUACGGGUUGUAAACUGCUUUUGUAAGGGAAUAAUAAGGCGGACGAGCUCCGUCGAUGAAGGUACCUUACGAAUAAGCAUCGGCUAACUCCGUGCCAGCAGCCGCGGUAAUACGGAGGAUGCAAGCGUUAUCCGGAUUUAUUGGGUUUAAAGGGUGCGUAGGCGGCCUGUUAAGUCAGGGGUGAAAGGUUGCGGCUUAACCGCAGAAUUGCCUUUGAUACUGGCAGGCUUGAAUAAAGUUGAGGUAGGCGGAAUGUGGCAAGUAGCGGUGAAAUGCAUAGAGAUGCCACAGAACACCGAUUGCGAAGGCAGCUUACUAAGCUUUGAUUGACGCUGAGGCACGAAAGCGUGGGGAUCAAACAGGAUUAGAUACCCUGGUAGUCCACGCAGUAAACGAUGAGAACUAGCUGUUGGCGAUAGAAUGUCAGCGGCACAGCGAAAGCGUUAAGUCUCCAC